rnacentral:misc_RNA from 1 species
GAUGAAGAACGUAGCGAAAUGCGAUACUUGGUGUGAAUUGCAGAAUCCCGUGAACCAUCGAGUCUUUGAACGCAAGUUGCGCCCGAAGCCAUUAGGCCGAGGGCACGCCUGCCUGGGCGUCACACGUCGUUGCCCCCCCAUCUACUCCUUCGGGAUUGCGGGGGGCGGAUGAUGGCCUCCCGUGCGCCUCGUCGUGCGGUUGGCAUAAAUGCCAAGUCCUCGGCGACGCACGCCACGACAAUCGGUGGUUGCGAAACCUCGGUUGCCCGUCGUGUGCGGUCGUCGCGCAUCGAGGGCUCGAAAAAAUUGCCGGGCUCUGGUUCGGCUUUCAACGCGACCCCAGGUCAGGCGGGGUUACCCGCUGAAUUUAAGCAUAUCAAUAAGCGGAGGA